rnacentral:rRNA from 1 species
UACAGAGGUGGCAAGCGUUGUUCGGAAUUACUGGGCGUAAAGCGUACGCAGGCGGCUUUGCAAGACAGGUGUGAAAUCCCCGGGCCUAACCUGGGAACUGCAUUUGUGACUGCAUGGCUAGAGUUUGUCAGAGGGGGGUGGAAUUCCACGUGUAGCAGUGAAAUGCGUAGAUAUGUGGAGGAACACCGAUGGCGAAGGCAGCCCCCUGGGAUGUGACUGACGCUCAUGUACGAAAGCGUGGGGAGCAAACAGG